CUACGUGCCAGCAGCCGCGGUAAUACGGAGGGUGCGAGCGUUAAUCGGAAUAACUGGGCGUAAAGGGCACGCAGGCGGUGACUUAAGUGAGGUGUGAAAGCCCCGGGCUUAACCUGGGAACUGCAUUUGAAACUGGGCGACUAGAGUAUGAAAGAGGAAAGCGGAAUUUCCAGUGUAGCAGUGAAAUGCGUAGAUAUUGGAAGGAACACCGAUGGCGAAGGCAGCUUUCUGGGUCGAUACUGACGCUCAUGUGCGAAAGCGUGGGGAGCAAACAGGAUUAGAUACCCUGGUAGUCCACGCCCUAAACGAUGUCAACUAGGCGUCGGGUUGUUAAAGACUCGGUGCCGGAGCUAACGCAUUAAGUUGACCGCCUGGGGAGUACGGCCGCAAGGUUGAAACUCAAAGAAAUUGACGGGGACCCGCACAAGCGGUGGAGCAUGUGGUUUAAUUCGAUGCAACGCGAAGAACCUUACCAGGCCUUGACAUCCAGA
rnacentral:rRNA from 1 species